rnacentral:rRNA from 1 species
GAUCGGCCACACUGGGACUGAGACACGGCCCAGACUCCUACGGGAGGCAGCAGUAGGGAAUCUUCCACAAUGGACGAAAGUCUGAUGGAGCAAUGCCGCGUGAGUGAAGAAGGUUUUCGGAUCGUAAAACUCUGUUGUGAGGGAAGAACAAGUAUGAGAGUAACUGCUCGUACCUUGACGGUACCUCAUUAGAAAGCCACGGCUAACUACGUGCCAGCAGCCGCGGUAAUACGUAGGUGGCAAGCGUUGUCCGGAAUUAUUGGGCGUAAAGCGCGCGCAGGCGGUCCUUUAAGUCUGAUGUGAAAUCCCACGGCUCAACCGUGGAAGGUCAUUGGAAACUGGGGGACUUGAGUACAGAAGAGGAAAGCGGAAUUCCAAGUGUAGCGGUGAAAUGCGUAGAGAUUUGGAGGAA